CCUACGGGGCGCAGCAGUCGGGAAUAUUGCGCAAUGGAGGAAACUCUGACGCAGUGACGCCGCGUAUAGGAAGAAGGUCUUCGGAUUGUAAACUAUUGUCGUUAGGGAAGAGAAAGGACAGUACCUAAGGAGGAAGCUCCGGCUAACUACGUGCCAGCAGCCGCGGUAAUACGUAGGGAGCGAGCGUUAUCCGGAUUUAUUGGGUUUAAAGGGUGCGCAGGCGGAUUUUUAAGUCAGCGGUCAAAUCGUGGGGCUCAACCCCAUCCAGCCGUUGAAACUGGGGAUCUAGAGUGUGCGAGAGGUAU
rnacentral:rRNA from 1 species